UGAACUGAAGUCUCACCAGAGACAAAGAGUCCUACAUGUGCCGGCUGUAUGGUGAGGACAGACUGGGUGUCUCAGCUAAGGUAGGUGAGGACAGACUGGGUGAGGACAGACUGGGUGUCUCAGCUGAGGUAGGUGAGGAAAGACCAAGGGUGAGGACAGACUAGGUGUCUCAGCUGAGGUAGGUGAGGACAGACUGGGUGUCUCAGCUGAUGUAGGUGAGGACAGACUGAGGGUGAGGACAGACUGGGUGUCUCAGCUGAGGUAGGUGAGGAUAGACCGAGGGUGAGGACAGACUGGGUGUCUCAGCUGAGGUAGGUGAGGAUAGACCGAGGGUGAGGACAGACUGGGUGUCUCAGCUGAGGGUAAGGACAGACUGGGUGUCUCAGCUGAGGUAGGUGAGGACAGACUGGGUGAGGAUAGACUGGGUGUCUCAGCUGAGGUAGGUGAGGACAGACUGGGUGUCUCAGCUGAUGUAGGUGAGGACGACCGACUGGAUGGGCAGCCUGCAGACCGGACACAGCUUGUUCCUCUUCUUCAGCUUCCUGGCGCAGACGUAGCAGGACAUCAGGUGUCCCGUUCGUC